GUGAGCACAUCUUUUAUUAAAUUUCCUUCUCUUUCUCUCCUUCUUUGUAGUGGAAUUAUUAUGACUCCAUUAGAGCAGUGAUUUCCACCUCCAGCCAUGACUCGACAGCUUUAGUAAUAGGUAACAAUUCUGCUAAUCUUUAAAAGCAGCAGGACCUUUGCUCAAGAUAACGUGCAUCCAAUCUACCCUCCCUGUUUCCAGGCCUGCAGCCAUUCCGUGCUGCUGCGGCUCCACCAGCAGCAGUGGCAGUAGCCUGAAGUCUGAAAGUGUCCUUUGAUGGUGGAAGCAGAAGCAGCAUUCACUUUGUCGUGUUCUUUUUUUUCUUUUUCUUUUUCUUUUUUUUGCUGUUUGAAGGAUUCCACACAGUACGAGCACAGCUGGGUUCUCUACAAGGGAGAAGGGGAUUUUAGAAACACAUCGAGGCUGAGUUGAGAGGGCAUUAGCACUGUUGUACCGGACUGGUUUACUGACUGCUCUGGCCAAUGCUGGCAGCUAACCCAGCUAAAAGGGUUGUGAGGAACCUGUGCUGCUGUGUGCCCUGCUCCUGUCAGCCAGACCUGCAUCCUCGGCCGUUCUCCAGCCACUUUAUUUCCUCCUGACUGCACGCUGGCACUGGAAACUUGGAGAAAUCACAGAAAUGUAGGAGUUUUUUUUUUUCUCAAACUGCCAACUGGUUCUUUUUAUCUCACUGGAAAUCAUGCAAGACAAAGAUCUCAGACUGAUGAAUAACUGUAUGAUUUGUUCGCAUGUGGGUGACGUCGGGAACAGCGUGAAUCAAACAGUUUUCUAAAUGAUUUAGAUGCGUACAUCCAGGCUGGGGCUGAGGAACCAGAGAAUUCCUCUCAUAACCAAUCUGCAAGAACAAAACUUGCACGUUCAGUUUGCUUUCUUUCCAGUUCCUGGGGCCGUGGUGCAGGCACAGCUCUUGUUAGUGAAAGCCCGAAGUGCUCAGCAGCUCCAUGGCCCCAUUUCUGCAAAGCAGAAGCAGCUGCUAAACACUGAGCUCGGUGGGAGACAUGCAAAUGUGCUCCCUUGCUUUGAUAGAUUGAAGUCACAGGAAGGCUUCUAAAAUCUCCUUUGCUCUCGGGAAGUCAAUAGCAGAGCUCCUAUUGAUUUCAAUGAGAAGAAAACCCUUCAGAGGGAAAGUAAAUGACUACGGUUCACCUCUACAGAGAUCAGCGCUCUCACAGGUGGGAUUUUGAAAUAGGAGAGCAACGACUGAAGCUCACCAAUGCCCCUGGAGAGGCGCUACUGCUGAAGCAUGCAGCAAAAAGCUCAGUCUUUCAGGCUGGUGACAGGAGGCUGAGAUGGACACAGAGUCACAACAACAGGGAUGCUUUAGAGGCAGCACUGCAUGAGCCUUGUCCCAGAGCCAGAUGCACCCGGUGGGAGUUCACACUGCAGGGAGACAUGCUUUUCUGUAGGAUGGUCCUCCCCUGAGACACCCCUGAAGGAUUAGUCAGACUCGCAUGCCUCAGGAGUAAAUGGGUACUGCAAAUACUGGAAGAAGAACAAAAAUAAAGCUGAGCAGAGCUGCAGCACAGGCCCAGGGAGCUGCCUGCAUGGCUGAGUGGGCCCAGGCUGUCCAUGAGGAGCCCUGCCUGGUGGGAAGGGAGCAGCUGGGAAGGGUCUGCCUGCAGCGUUCCUCAUGUUCAUCCCCUGCUCACCUGCAGAGCCCAGGGCUGUAGGGAGGUCCCUGCCCCUCGCUGCAACACCAGGGACAACCUGCCCUGCCUCUCACAAGGACAAGAGAAAAGGACAAGAGAAAAUGCCUGCAGCUGUCUUGCUCAUGGUGGGGUCCUGCAACAAUCCCAAGUAGCUACAUCACAGACAACACACCCAUGCUGUUUGUACAGCAGCAUCUCACAGAGCUCAGAGCCUGCUGCACUGAGUACAGACACAAGUGAUGCAUUGGAACAGGCUGCCCAGGGAGGUGGUGGGGUCAGCAUUCCUGGAGGUGCUCAGGGAAAGGGCAGAGGUGGUACUGAAUGAUGUGGUCUGGAAUGGGCACAGGCAUAGGUUAACAGCAAGACUGAAGGGUCGCAUAGAACUGUUGAGGCCGGACUAAUCAAUCAAUAAGUACAUGAACAAAAAAUGCUGUAGGUGCCAACAGGAAGAAUUAGUUCAGAACAGAAAAUAAUUUCCACAUCAUCCAUCUGAGGAGAAGGGGCCACAUCUGAAUGUUUGAACUGUGUGUAAACACUACAGCUAUGGCUGGAGAAGUAUGUUGAUAAAUCGCAUCUAUCCUGAGCAGGCCUGAGUGGUCUUUAGGCAGAGCAGGGCUGUUCAGUGGGACAGGAGAAUCAAUAUGGACUUUGUAAGUAGAAAGACUGCACAUAAGCAAGAUGAUUUACUUGCACAAAAUGCUAUUGUUUUAAAUGAAGCUCUGAACUCAGUAUUUUGAUAUCCAUAAAGAAUAAAACAGAAGUAAUUUUACCACCACAGGAAUGCACUGUUUUGGACUCAAAACCAACAAUGGUUCCCAGGCUUCCCUUCUGAGCCCCAGGAGGUACCAGCAGGCAUCUUCCCCACGAGAGGGGUUGUCAUCAUAAAGCAUUCAUUUGCUGAAAACAAAUAUAUUGGCUUCAACAAACUGGAAAAUGUUGGGAAUGGGACUGAAUCUGAGAGAAAAAGCUUAUAAUGAGCUUCUGGCCAUUCUGGGAUGCUUCUCCAGCCUGCUUUCUUUCUAAAAGAAAAUGAAAAUACAGAUCAUUUUAUCUAAACUUGGAAAUAAAAACUGGAAGCCUA
rnacentral:lncRNA from 1 species